CUAAGAAUCUUCCGCAAUGGGGGAAACCCUGACGGAGCGACGCCGCGUGGACGAAGAAGGCCGCAAGGUUGUAAAGUCCUUUUGCAGACGAAGAAUAAGGCUCGGAGUGGAACGCCGAACUGAUGACGUUAGUCUGCGAAUAAGCCCCGGCCAAUUACGUGCCAGCAGCCGCGGUAACACGUAUGGGGCAAGCGUUGUUCGGAAUCACUGGGCGUAAAGGGCGUGUAGGCGGUUCGAAAAGCCCGGCGUGAAAGGUGUCGGCCCAACCGACAGACUGCGCUGGGAACUGCCGGACUGGAGUCAUGGAGGGGGAGCUGGAAUUCCAGGUGUAGGGGUGAAAUCUGUAGAGAUCUGGAAGAACACCGGUGGCGAAGGCGAGCUUCUGGCCAAUGACUGACGCUGAGGCGCGAAAGCGUGGGGAGCAAACAGG
rnacentral:rRNA from 1 species